rnacentral:rRNA from 1 species
ACGAACGCUGGCGGCGUGCUUAUCACAUGCAAGUCGCACGGAAAGGCCCUGCUUUUGUGGGGUGCUCGAGUGGCGAACGGGUGAGUAACACGUGAGUAACCUGCCCUUGACUUUGGGAUAACUUCAGGAAACUGGGGCUAAUACCGGAUAGGAGCUCCUGCUGCAUGGUGGGGGUUGGAAAGUUUCGGCGGUUGGGGAUGGACUCGCGGCUUAUCAGCUUGUUGGUGGGGUAGUGGCUUACCAAGGCUUUGACGGGUAGCCGGCCUGAGAGGGUGACCGGCCACAUUGGGACUGAGAUACGGCCCAGACUCCUACGGGAGGCAGCAGUGGGGAAUAUUGCACAAUGGGCGGAAGCCUGAUGCAGCAACGCCGCGUGCGGGAUGACGGCCUUCGGGUUGUAAACCGCUUUCGCCUGUGACGAAGCGUGAGUGACGGUAAUGGGUAAAGAAGCACCGGCUAACUACGUG